AAUGCUGCAAGAUCUUAUCAACGUGAAAAUUUCUCUAAGUGAAGAUGUUAUGAAAUGGGGACACCCAGCCUUGUGAGCGCAGCAGCGCUCCAUGCUGGGUCCACCUUUAUUGCGGAAGACGGAUCAAGAACAGAAUGUGUCGGGCGUGAUCACCUACAGAACCCAAACAGAUGUGUCCCUUCUGCUGACGUGGCAUCCCAGCUUGAGAUUGCGGCUUAAGUCCUCAACACUCCCACUCGAGCUAAGCUGGGAUCAGCCUCGAGCAACUGCACACCAAGAGCUUGGACAUGCUUGGAGAAUGCAGCUAGGGGCAGAGCUUUUGUGAAAACAUCUGCCACCUGAUCUCCCGUCGCACAAUACACUAGCUCCAUUGUCUCCAUGGCAACCUGCUCACGAAUAAAAUGAAACUGUACCUGUAUGUGCUUGGUACGUCCGUGAUACUUCGGGUUCUUCGUCAAGGCAAUUGCUCCCUGAUUAUCACAGAAGAUAAUUGUUGGAGUCUUCUGUGGAUAAUAUACUCCACUCAAUAGUUGCCUCAGCCAAACACACUCUUUGGCUGCUAAGGUAGUGGCCAUGUACUCAGCUUCGGUGCUUGAUAGUGCAAUUGUUGGCUGCCUUUUACUGCACCAAGUAACUGCUCCACUACCAAGGCUGAACAUAUAGCCUGAAGUGGACUUCCUCUUGUCAACUUCACCAGCCCAAUCAGCAUCUGAGUAUCCAACGAGCUGAAUACCCCUAGGCUGCUGCUUGUAAACAAGACCAUAGUUGGCAGUCCCCUUCAAGUAUCUGAAAAUCCGCUUUACUGCUAACCAGUGCUGGUAGCCAGGAUUUUCCAAGUGCUGUGAAACUGCUCCCACUGCAUAGGCUAUGUCUGGCCUCGUACACACCAUCAGGUACACUAAGCUUCCCACCAUCUGCCUAUAUGGGAUCCGCUUCAUAUGUUCCUGUUCAGCUGGUGUUGUCGGUGACAUAUCCUGUGAGAGUUUUAGACCAACCUCCAUAGGUGUGGUUGCUGGGUUCAGCUCACUGAGUUGAAACCUCUGAAGCACGUCCAGAAUGUACUUCUUCUGAGACAUCUGAAUCACUCCCUUCCUCCUGUCUCGGAAGAUCUGAAUGCCAAGGCAGUAGUGAAGAGGUCCCAUGUCAACCAUCUUGAAUCGGCACCCCAAAUCCAGCUUCAACUGCUUCAUGGUAGCACCUUCACUUGAGAAAAGGAUGCAGUCAUCCACAUAGAGAGCUAUCAUGGCUCAAAAUUCUCCCACUCGCUUCAAGUACACGUUACUGUCAGCUGAAAUCUUGGAGAACCCCAAACCCAAGAGAUAAGCAUCCAUUUUCUCGUACCAGGCCCUGGGUGCUUGUUUAAGGCCAUACAAAGCCUUCUUCAACCGGCACACUAAAUGUUCCUUCCCUGGAACAACAAAGCCCUCUGGUUGCGAGAUAAAGACCUCCUCAUGUAGAUCUCCAUUCAGAAAAGCUGUGGUGACGUCCAUCUACUCGACUUCCAAGUUUUCUUGAGCAGCAAUGUUCAGCAACAUCCUGAUCGAUGCAUGUUUCACCACUGGUGAAAAUGUUUCUGCAAAGUCCACUCCUUCUACUUGAGAAAAUCCUCGAGCUACAAAUCUGGCCUUGUAACGAUCAAUAGAGCCAUCUGGCUUAUACUUGAUCCGGAACAGCCACUUUGUACUCACGAUUCUUCUACCUGUAGGAAGCUCCACCAAGUCCCACGUUUCAUUUUCCAUCAGAGAUUGAUACUCUAGGAAAAUUGCAUGCUGCCACUCUGCUGCAUUUGGACCAGCCAAGGCUUCUUGCAGGGUCUUGGGUACUGUGGCUUCUGCUUGGUGAAAGAGUGCUAGAAAGUCGAGUUCCAUGUCCUCAGAAGGAACUUCCUCCUGCUGCUGGGACGGUGAGCUUGCAGCAUAAUAAAAUGCUGCUGAGGUUACUGGAGGUGGCUCAGAUGCACUGCGAUCACGAGCUGCUCUGGCUUCAACUCUAGAAGCCUCAAGAGCCUGCUUUAAUGCCACAUCCUCUCUGUACUGCUGUCCUUGUUCAAUCAAGACACGAACACGACUGGAUCUACAAGUUGCUGCUACUUCCUGCUGCUGGCUGCUUUCCUGCUGCUGGCUGCUCUCACUAGAGCUGCCUUCCUCGAAAUUGAGAGAAGGUGAGAGAUCUGAGACACUCCUUGGAAGAGUUCGGCCUGCCCUGGGAGGAACUUGAGCCAUGACUCCACCUCCACCUGUAGCUGCUCCGCCUGAGUGUGCACGCUGCCGUCGAGAGGCAUCUUCCUCCUCGCUGUCGCUAUCCUCAAUUAGGGUUUGCUUACCACUAAUGAGUAACGGCAUCUGCUGCGAGGUGGUUGCUAGCUGGUUCUUGGUGUUGUACAUCUUAGACUCGUCGAAGAUGACAUUCCUGCUCGUGAUCACCUUCCUGGUGUUCAGGUUGAAGAGCUUGUAACCCUUCAUCUUGCUUGCAUAGCCAAGGAGAAUGCACUUCUCACUUCUACUGUCCAGCUUCUUGGGCUCGUCCUUGAGUGCAUAAGCUACACACCCAAAGAUCCUGAGAUGGCUCACGUCUGGUGCCUUCCCAUACCACACCUCAUAAGGUGUUCGUCCCUUGACAGCAGAAGUAAUCAGCCUAUUCCUCAAGUAGGCUGCUGUCUUCACAGCAUCACACCAAAAGAAAUUUGGCAUGCCUGCAUCUUGCAAGAGCGCUCGUGCCAUCUCCACAAGAGUUCGGUUCAUCCUCUCAGCCACGCCAUUUUGCUCAGGAGUUGAAGGCACUGAAAGUUGCCGCUUAAUUCCAGCUUGCUCACAGAACUCCUUAAAGGCGUUAGAGGUGAACUCUCCACCACCAUCACUUCUCAGCAUCUUGAUUUUUCUGCUUAUCUCAAGCUCCGCUUGCAGCUUGUAGACCUUGAAAGCUUCAAAGGCCUCUGACUUGUGCAGCAAAAACUUCACUGCUACCAUCCUUGAAAAAUCGUCAAUGAAUGUGACAAAGUAUUUCUUCUUUGUCCUUGACAUGGUCUGCAUUGGGCCACAUAGAUCAGAGUGUACCAGCUCCAGGACAUCCUUCCCUCUUUCACUUACACCUGAGCGAAAUGGAAGGCGAUGCUGCUUACUGAGGACACAAGGCUCACAAAAUCCAGCUGAUGAUGGAGCAAUGUUCAGUCCUUGGACAAGUUGUCCUCUUGCUAGCUGCUGUACUCUCUUGAUGGAAGAGUGGCCUAAUCUCCUGUGCCAAGUGUCUAGUGUAGCUGGUUUGUCUUCCACGCUGCUACUGAGCAUUAACCUCUCAGGAUACACCACUUCAGCAUUCAGGCAAUAGAGCCCUGCAUGUCGGCGUCCCGAUGCUAGCUCAUAGCCUUCUCAUGAGAUGGUGCACCUUUUCUCGUUAAAGUCAAUCUUGCAGCCUGUGUCUGCUAUCUUCCCCACUGAGAAAAGAGUCUUCUUGACACCAGGCACAUAGUAGACAUUGCUCACGUCCACUUUCUGACCAUUGGCAAGUUUCACCUUGAUUGUCCCAACUCCUUGCACACUGUGCGAGUAAUCGUCACCAAGGUAAAUCCUCUUGUCGUCUGGAACUGGUCUCAGCUUGCCAAACAGCUCUUUGAUGUAUGUCAUGUGCCUGUUUGCUCCUGAGUCCACCCAGAUUACUUCUACUGUCAAGGGACGAACACCUUAUGAGGUGUGGUAUGGGAAGGCACCAGACGUGAGCCAUCUCAGGAUCUUUGGGUGUGUAGCUUAUGCACUCAAGGACGAGCCCAAGAAGCUGGACAGUAGAAGUGAGAAGUGCAUUCUCCUUGGCUAUGCAAGCAAGAUGAAGGGUUACAAGCUCUUCAACCUGAACACCAGGAAGGUGAUCACGAGCAGGAAUGUCAUCUUCGACGAGUCUAAGAUGUACAACACCAAGAACCAGCUAGCAACCACCUCGCAGCAGAUGCCGUUACUCAUUAGUGGUAAGCAAACCCUAAUUGAGGAUAGCGACAGCGAGGAGGAAGAUGCCUCUCGACGGCAGCGUGCACACUCAGGCGGAGCAGCUACAGGUGGAGGUGGAGUCAUGGCUCAAGUUCCUCCCAGGGCAGGCCGAACUCUUCCAAGGAGUGUCUCAGAUCUCUCACCUUCUCUCAAUUUCGAGGAAGGCAGCUCUAGUGAGAGCAGCCAGCAGCAGGAAGUAGCAGCACCUUGUAGAUCCAGUCGUGUUCGUGUCUUGAUUGAACAAGGACAGCAGUAUAGAGAGGAUGUGGCAUUAAAGCAGGCUCUUGAGGCUUCUAGAGUUGAAGCCAGAGCAGCUCGUGAUCGCAGUGCAUCUGAGCCACCUCCAGUAACCUCAGCAGCAUUUUAUUAUGCUGCAAGCUCACCGUCCCAGCAGCAGAAGGAAGUUCCUUUUGAGGACAUGGAACUCGACUUUCUAGCACUCUUUCACCAAGCAGAAGCCACAGUACCCAAGACCCUGCAAGAAGCCUUGGCUGGUCCAAAUGCAGCAGAGUGGCAGCAUGCAAUUUUCCUAGAGUAUCAAUCUCUGAUGGAAAAUGAAACGUGGGACUUGGUGGAGCUUCCUACAGGUAGAAGAAUCGUGAGUACAAAGUGGCUGUUCCGGAUCAAGUAUAAGCCAGAUGGCUCUAUUGAUCGUUACAAGGCCAGAUUUGUAGCUCGAGGAUUUUCUCAAGUAGAAGGAGUGGACUUUGCAGAAACAUUUUCACCAGUGGUGAAACAUGCAUCAAUCAGGAUGUUGCUGAACAUUGCUGCUCAAGAAAACUUGGAAGUCGAGUAGAUGGACGUCACCACAGCUUUUCUGAAUGGAGAUCUACAUGAGGAGGUCUUUAUCUCGCAACCAGAGGGCUUUGUUGUUCCAGGGAAGGAACAUUUAGUGUGCCGGUUGAAGAAGGCUUUAUAUGGCCUUAAACAAGCACCCAGGGCCUGGUACGAGAAAAUGGAUGCUUAUCUCUUGGGUUUGGGGUUCUCCAAGAUUUCAGCUGACAGUAACGUGUACUUGAAGCGAGUGGGAGAAUUUUGAGCCAUGAUAGCUCUCUAUGUGGAUGACUGCAUCCUUUUCUCAAGUGAAGGUGCUACCAUGAAGCAGUUGAAGCUGGAUUUGGGGUGCCGAUUCAAGAUGGUUGACAUGGGACCUCUUCACUACUGCCUUGGCAUUCAGAUCUUCCGAGACAGGAGGAAGGGAGUGAUUCAGAUGUCUCAGAAGAAGUACAUUCUGGACGUGCUUUAGAGGUUUCAACUCAGUGAGCUGAACCCAGCAACCACACCUAUGGAGGAACAUAUGAAGCGGAUACCAUAUAGGCAGAUGGUGGGAAGCUUAGUGUACCUGAUGGUGUGUACGAGGCCAGACAUAGCCUAUGCAGUGGGAGCAGUUUCACAGCACUCUGAUACCCCUAGUUUUGUCACCUGCUGAUCCUCUAACGAAGCCAUGAACAGACUGCCAUGCUCGUCAUCUGAAUCAGCAAGUGACAAAACAUGGUCUGUUGAAAGCAGAAGUAAUCUCUGAUGUAUGUCAUGUGCCUGCAGAUUACUUUUGCUUUCAACAGACCAUGUUUUGUCACCUGCUGAUCCUCUAACGAAGCCAUGAAUAGACUGCCAUGCUCGUCAUCUGAAUCAGCUGCUGCAAAGUUAGCCACUUGCUUGCCUUUGUCUCGCUUUCUAGCUUCCUUGGCUUUCUUUGCUUCUUCAUUGGUGCAGUCUCUUGCCCAAUGACCAGGUUUCUUGCAAAUGUUGCAAAGGCCGUCGUUUUUCUUCUUCUUCUUCUUGGACUUGCUCCCACUGGUUCCAUCAGUCCCUGGAGAAUUCACUGGGCCCAACCUGUCCCACACUGUUGCAGAUCGCUUGCCCUUUGAAGAUUGACCAGCAAAUAGCGCUUGAUCUUGAGAUCCAACUCCCUCAUUGGUCUCCAUCAAGUUCUCUGCUGACUUCAACUGAAGGACUAUUUCGUCAAAUUUCUUUGAUGAGUGAGUAGUCGCUGUUGUCAGAAGAUACUUCGCCACGCCUUUGAUGACAACCGACUUGAGCUUCGGUUCACUCACUGGUGUCUUCGUGAUGCGUGCGAUCUGGCUUGCUACCUUCCUCAACCUUCCAACAAAGGCUUGAAUGGACUCACCUUCAUGCUGUCUUACAGAACCGAGUUCUGUCUCUAAGUCCAGCAAUGUGGUCUCAUUCUCCUUUCCGAGGGUUGCUUUCAGGUUUUCCCAGUUCUCGUGCGCAGUCUUCGUGAUGUCGAGAUGGCAACUGAACACCUUGCCCAGGCCUCUGCCUAGAAUGCCCAAGGCCUUGAUGUUCUUUCCAUCCUACUCUUUGCGGUCAGCCUUGUCCGUUGUGGGAGGGCGCGUCCAGGAACCGUCGACCACUGGCCACAGCUCCUUCUGCAUAAAGUAGUACUCGAGUUGCUCCUGCCAUCCACUGAAAUCCUUGCCAUCAAAGAUCUCUAUGGCGUCGCGCACACUCCCCAUCUUCAGGAUCGUUCUUCACACGGGCUCUGAUACCAUGUUAUGAAAUGGGGACACCCAGCCUUGUGAGCGCAGCAGCGCUCCAUGCUGGGUCCACCUUUAUUGCGGAAGACGGAUCAAGAACAGAAUGUGUCGGGCGUGAUCACCUACAGAACCUAAACGGAUGUGUCCCUUCUGCUGACGUGGCAUCCCAGCUUGAGAUUGCG
rnacentral:lncRNA from 1 species